rnacentral:rRNA from 1 species
AUUGAACGCUGGCGGAAUGCUUUACACAUGCAAGUCGAGCGGCAGCGCGGGGCAACCUGGCGGCGAGCGGCGAACGGGUGAGUAAUGCAUCGGAACAUGUCCAUGUCGUGGGGGAUAGCCCGGCGAAAGCCGGAUUAAUACCGCAUACGCCCGAGAGGGGAAAGUGGGGACUCGCAAGGGCCUCACGCGAUUGGGUUGGCCGAUGUCCGAUUAGCUAGUUGGCGGGGAAGAGCCCACCAAGGCGAUGAUCGGUAGCUGGUCUGAGAGGAUGAUCAGCCACACUGGGACUGAGACACGGCCCAGACUCCUACGGGAGGCAGCAGUGGGGAAUUUUGGACAAUGGGGCAACCCUGAUCCAGCCAUUCCGCGUGAGUGAAGAAGGCCU